rnacentral:sRNA from 1 species
GGUGACUGUCUUUGAGCUCUUGGCACAGUUGGUGCGCUUCAAGAGAGCACUGCUUCUUAAGCCCUCCCAGCCACACAGGAACUCCAGUGGGAAUAUAAGGACAACAACCCACAAGAAGACACAAAACUUUUGACCCCAAGUUUAUCCUUCCUACAAGAAAUGCAGAGAGAAAUGUGGAGCAGAGACUAUGGGAAUGGACAACCUAUAAAGGUCCUAAGUUUAGACCCAUCCACAGGCAAGUACAAGUUCCUGACAAUAUUAAUGAUACUUUGUUAUACUAGAAGACAAAGGAAUCACUUAACCCUCCGCUGACAGGUUCUACCUAGCAGCUGACUGAAACAGAUUCAGAAACCCAUAGUGAAACAUUGUAUCAUGCCUACAGACUCUUAUGGGAGAUUUAGGGGAAUGAGUGAGGGCCUGGAACAGAACAUCAACUACACAGAAUACCAACAGAGUCAUCUAAACUGAACCUUUGGGACCUCUCAGAGACUGAACAAUGUAGUACAUGAAGCAGACCUUGUCUGACACACAUUUGUUGAAGAUGUGCAGCUCACUCUUUAUUUCGAGUGCUAAAAGUGGGGUUGGAGCUCUUUUUAAAGCCGUUUCUUGUCUGUGAAAUCUGAUACUUUUCCUAGACUCAGUAGGAGUGGAUGAACGUAAUCCUGCUGUUUCUUGAUGUGGCAAGGUGCGGGAAUACUCACGGGGCUGGGGAGUUCAACCUCUUAGAGGAGGAGGAGAGGUGGGAUGGAAGGAAGAAUGGUGUUAGGAUGGUCUCAGAGGGGGCAAUGAUUGAGAUAUAAAGUGAAUAAAAAUAUAAAAAAUAAAACAAAAGUAUAUGUAAUAUAUAGCAGAGGACCCCUUGGUCAGGCUUCUGUCACAGAAGAUGCCACUAAUCCUCAAGAGAUUGGAGGCCCCAGGAAGUUUAGACGUUUUGUGGGUGUGGAUAUCCCCAGUAGAAUUGGCGGGGGGUUAUGGGAUCCAGAAUUCUUG